rnacentral:siRNA from 1 species
AUCCCAUUAGUGAUGAGGGUAG